GGACUCUUCACCUUGCCCUGGCAGGCGGAUGGGCGCUGGGGAGGCUCGGCUUCAGCGGCUGUGACUCGAGCGAAAACCUGCUCUCCGGGUCCCCUGGCUCCUGCCACCAACUGCUCGAUGUCUGUGUGCCAAUCCAAUUUGAAUGCCUGCGAGUCACCCCCCGAGAGGGCUUAUUUUAACUUCAUCAAGUGCAGAGAAAAGCAUCCAGGCUGGAGUGUGGGAGGGGAGGAGUAGUUGCUUGGGGGCCCCAGCAGGGGAUGGGAUCCGGGGGCUGCUGCCCCUCCAGUGGUUGGACCUGGGGUCCCUGCCUCCUAAUCUGGUUCAACCAAGGCUCGUUCCUAGUCAUGCUUCAAGACUCAGUGUCACUGGCUGCUUCCCCACCCCUCCGGGCAGAGUGAGAUGUUCUCCCUGGAUCCCUGCAGGAUUUUGUAUGUCCCUCUGUUUUCACAAGCCCUGUGCUGGGUGUCCAGGACAGAUGUGAACCCCAGCCGGUGCCUGCAGCACAAGGAUAGGAAUGUGUGCAAGAGACGUUUCUGACAGCGACUCCAAUUACAAGAGAUUUACAUUUUUAGUUCAUUCAUUUAUUGUUUUUCUGUGCAUGUAGUGCUUUAAUAAUGAAAAUAACAAGAAAUGUUU